rnacentral:rRNA from 1 species
CGCCUGGGGAGUACGGCCGCAAGGUUAAAACUCAAAUGAAUUGACGGGGGCCCGCACAAGCGGUGGAGCAUGUGGUUUAAUUCGAUGCAACGCGAAGAACCUUACCUGGUCUUGACAUCCACAGAACUUUCCAGAGAUGGAUUGGUGCCUUCGGGAACUGUGAGACAGGUGCUGCAUGGCUGUCGUCAGCUCGUGUUGUGAAAUGUUGGGUUAAGUCCCGCAACGAGCGCAACCCUUAUCCUUUGUUGCCAGCGGUCCGGCCGGGAACUCAAAGGAGACUGCCAGUGAUAAACUGGAGGAAGGUGGGGAUGACGUCAAGUCAUCAUG